AUUGAACGCUGGCGGCAGGCCUAACACAUGCAAGUCGAGCGGUAGAGAGGUGCUUGCACCUCUUGAGAGCGGCGGACGGGUGAGUAAUGCCUAGGAAUCUGCCUAGUGGUGGGGGAUAACGUUCGGAAACGGACGCUAAUACCGCAUACGUCCUACGGGAGAAAGCGGGGGAUCUUCGGACCUCGCGCCAUUAGAUGAGCCUAGGUCGGAUUAGCUAGUUGGUGAGGUAAUGGCGCACCAAGGCGACGAUCCGUAACUGGUCUGAGAGGAUGAUCAGUCACACUGGACCUGAGAGACGGUCCAGACUCCUACAGAAGGCAGCCGUGGGGAAUAUUGGACAAUGGGCGAAAGCCUGAUCCAGCCAUGCCGCGUGUGUGAAGAAGGUCUUCGGAUUGUAAAGCACUUUAAGUUGGGAGGAACGGGUGAGUCUUAAUCCGGCUCAUCUGUGACGUUACCUACAGAAGAAGGACCGGCUAACUCCGUGCCAGCCGCCGCGGUAACAC
rnacentral:rRNA from 1 species